UAUUUAAAUCAGAUUCUGUACCAGAUGGCUGGCAGAUAGCUAAUGUGAUGCCGAUUUUUAAAAAAGGCUUCAGAGGUGAUCCUGGCAAUUAAAGGCCAGUAAGCCUAGCUUUAGUACCAGGCAAAGUAGUUGAUACUAUAGUAAAGAACAUAAUCAUCAGACACAUAGAUGAACACCAUGUGUUGGGGAAUAGUCAACAUGACUUUUGAAAAGGGAAAUCAUGCCUCACCAAUCUACUAAAU